GUUUUGACUGUCAUUUUAUAUUUCCGAUUUCGGAUAUUUUAAGAAUUGUUUUGAUUGUCAAUGACUUUACAAGGAUACAUUGACAUCUCCUGCAUCGCUACAGUGACCUUGACCUAGACUAUAGCCAUCGGGGCCCAACACACAAUCUCAGGGUGGUAAAAUGAACUAUGGUAUCGACUGUUCGUAUAGAAUGACAGUCAAUUAUUGAAAACAGCGUGUUGCUUGUGCACACUCGGACAUAGAACGAACCACGACCAGUUUGUUUUAACCCAUAAUAUAUUAACUUUUAUAUAUAUUAACUUUUAUAUGACCUUCAUAUGGGUCAGGGGAAAAGUUCAGAUGAUGACAUUUAGUAACUUAAAUUUUAACAGAAAAAUAUUGAUAAUAGCAUAAAGACAGUUACAAUGAUGCGGAUAAAUCUACAUGUAUGUGUUUUAUUUUCAGUUGAAAUAUGACAUAUGUGUAUUUUUAUUGUUUAAAACAUUAUUAAAUGUAUUGCAUAUGUGUACAGUGUUCAUGUAUCUAAACUCUGUGAACGAGAAUGUAUAACAAUCAACCCUACACCAAAUAACGGGUGUAUAAACUGAUGCGAUUCGAUAUUGAUCGUCAAUGAGAAACCAUGAAUAUUUGAAAUGGUUUAAAUUGCACAAGCUCUGGUUGAAGACAGCAUAGAAGUAUUGGUUUUAAGCAGACGACACAACGCGAAGAAACAUUGAGGGUUUAAAUAGCGUUAUACGGCAGACAACAGCAUUUUUGAAUAACAUGUAGUAUUUUGUAUGGUAUGAAGGCCACAUGUGUCAACAUUACUUAAAUUGAAGACCGCUUUUACUUGUACUUGAAUGGUUAAGGAGAUGGAGAUGAUUAUGUGCAUUAGCGCAUUGUUAGACAAGGACAUUAGGUGUUAUACAUUUUUUAAAAUCAAUAAGGAUAUUUGUUUCUGUGCUUCACUCGAAUUAUUAUUCCUUUUUAAAAAGAAUUAAAAGUGCAAAAAUCCAUGUACAUUUUGAUUUCUUGAUAAAUCUGAAUGUUUUAACAGAAAGCUUUCAUACUAAAUAGCUUCCCCAUGUUUAUGGAUAGGU